AACGAACGCUGGCGGCAGGCCUAACACAUGCAAGUCGAACGCUCCAGCAAUGGAGAGUGGCAGACGGGUGAGUAACACGUGGGAACCUUCCCUUUGGUUCGGAAUAGCCCAGGGAAACUUGGGGUAAUACCGGAUAAGCCCUUACGGGGAAAGAUUUAUCGCCGAAGGAUGGGCCCGCGUCGGAUUAGCUAGUUGGUGGGGUAACGGCCUACCAAGGCGACGAUCCGUAGCUGGUCUGAGAGGAUGAUCAGCCACACUGGGACUGAGACACGGCCCAGACUCCUACGGGAGGCAGCAGUGGGGAAUAUUGGACAAUGGGCGCAAGCCUGAUCCAGCCAUGCCGCGUGGAUGAUGAAGGUCUUAGGAUUGUAAAAUCCUUUCACCGGUGAAGAUAAUGACUGUAGCCGGAGAAGAAGCCCCGGCUAACUUCGUGCCAGCAGCCGCAGUAACAC
rnacentral:rRNA from 1 species